CCUACGGGAGGCAGCAGUGGGGAAUAUUGCACAAUGGGGGAAACCCUGAUGCAGCGACGCCGCGUGAGUGAAGAAGUAUUUCGGUACGUAAAGCUCUAUCAGCAGGGAAGAAAAUGACGGUACCUGACUAAGAAGCCCCGGCUAACUACGUGCCAGCAGCCGCGGUAAUACGUAGGGGGCAAGCGUUAUCCGGAUUUACUGGGUGUAAAGGGAGCGUAGACGGCAGCGCAAGUCUGGAGUGAAAUCCCAUGGCUUAACCAUGGAACUGCGUUGGAAACUGUGCAGCUAGAGUGCAGGAGAGGUAAGCGGAAUUCCUAGUGUAGCGGUGAAAUGCGUAGAUAUUAGGAGGAACACCAGUGGCGAAGGCGGCUUACUGGACUGUAACUGACGUUGAGGCUCGAAAGCGUGGGGAGCAAACAGGAUUAGAUACCCGAGUAGUC
rnacentral:rRNA from 1 species